AAACCAACUGGGAUUACCUUAGUAACGGCGAGUGAAGCGGUAAAAGCUCAAAUUUGAAAUCUGGUACUUUCAGUGCCCGAGUUGUAAUUUGUAGAAUUUGUCUUUGAUUAGGUCCUUGUCUAUGUUCCUUGGAACAGGACGUCAUAGAGGGUGAGAAUCCCGUUUGGCGAGGAUACCUUUUCUCUGUAAGACUUUUUCGAAGAGUCGAGUUGUUUGGGAAUGCAGCUCAAAGUGGGUGGUAAAUUCCAUCUAAAGCUAAAUAUUGGCGAGAGACCGAUAGCGAACAAGUACAGUGAUGGAAAGAUGAAAAGAACUUUGAAAAGAGAGUGAAAAGGUACGUGAAAUUGUUGAAAGGGAAGGGCAUUUGAUCAGACAUGGUGUUUUUGCAUGCACUCGCCUCUCGUGGGCUUGGGCCUCUCAAAAAUUUCACUGGGCCAACAUCAAUUUUGGCGGCAGGAAAAAUCUUUUGGAAUGUAGCUACCUCGGUAUGUUAUAGCCUUUUGAAAUACUGUCAGCUGGGAUUGA
rnacentral:rRNA from 1 species